AGGGAAUCUUCGGCAAUGGACGGAAGUCUGACCGAGCAACGCCGCGUGAGUGAAGAAGGUUUUCGGAUCGUAAAGCUCUGUUGUAAGAGAAGAACGAGUGUGAGAGUGGAAAGUUCACACUGUGACGGUAUCUUACCAGAAAGGGACGGCUAACUACGUGCCAGCAGCCGCGGUAAUACGUAGGUCCCGAGCGUUGUCCGGAUUUAUUGGGCGUAAAGCGAGCGCAGGCGGUUAGAUAAGUCUGAAGUUAAAGGCUGUGGCUUAACCAUAGUACGCUUUGGAAACUGUUUAACUUGAGUGCAAGAGGGGAGAGUGGAAUUCCAUGUGUAGCGGUGAAAUGCGUAGAUAUAUGGAGGAACACCGGUGGCGAAAGCGGCUCUCUGGCUUGUAACUGACGCUGAGGCUCGAAAGCGUGGGGAGCAAACAGGAUUAGAUACCCUGGUAGUCCACGCCGUAAACGAUGAGUGCUAGGUGCUAGACCCUUUCCGGGGUUUAGUGCCGUAGCUAACGCAUUAAGCACUCCGCCUGGGGAGUACGACCGCAAGGUUG
rnacentral:rRNA from 1 species